GACUCUUUAUAAGUUCCACAACAUACAUACCCUUUUUAAUUAUUUUUCUAUCUCUAAGUCUUUUUUGUUUCCAAAUAAUUGAGUGACCAUGGCUUUAAUCUCUUCAAUUUUACAACAUGCCAAGUCUCAUUCUUCAUCUAAAAUAUCUACUUAUAUUCAAAGAAGAUUAUUUUCUAAUGAUGUUAGAAAAGAAAAUAUUGUAAUUGUUGGGGCAGGAAUUGCUGGCCUUGCUUCUGCCCUUUCACUUCAAAGGUUUGGUAUUAGAAGUUUGGUGCUUGAACAAGCUGAAUCAUUGAGAACUGAAGGAAGUUCAAUAACACUUUCUAAAAAUGGAUGGAAGGCACUUGAUGCUAUUGGAGUUGGUGAUGAACUUAGGAGUCAAUUUCUUGAGCUUCAAGGGGUAGUAAUAAAAUCAGAUGAUGGGAAGGAGUUGAACUCAUUUGGGUUCAAAGAUGAGGACAAAAGCCAAGAACUAAGGGUGGUUGAGAGAAGAGUCUUACUUGAAACACUAGCAAGUAAACUACCACCAAAUUCAAUAUCUUUUUCGUCGAAGUUGUCAAAUAUUGAGACAAGUGAAAAUGGUACUAAUACCUUGUUGCAACUUCAAGAUGGUACUCGUGUAUCCGCUGAGGUGGUGAUUGCUUGUGAUGGUGUAUGGUCACCAACGGCUAAAUGGAUGGGAUUUCGACAGCCUAAGUAUGCAGGGCAUAUCGCCUUUCGAGGCCUAGGAUAUUUCCCUGAAGGACAGCCAUAUGAACCAAAAGUAAACUACACGUAUGGAAGCGGAUUACGCUCUGGAUUCGUUCCUGCUUCUAAAACCAAGGUCUACUGGUUUGUCCUGUGCAACAGCUCAUCUCCAGGUCCAAGGAUCACAGAUCCAUCGAUUUUGAGAUAGCAAGCUAAAGAGCUCGUUAGAGAUUGGCCAGUCGCGGACAUAUUAAACCUGAUUAAUCUUACACCAGACGAUACAUUAACAAGAAAUCCCCUUUAUGACCGAUGGCUUUGGCCAGUAAUAAGUCCUCCACCUUUUAGUGGAAGGACAGUGCUUGCUGGAGAUGCAUGGCAUCCAAUGACACCCAACAUGGGCCAGGGUGCGUGUUGCGCGUUGGAGGAUUCAAUAGUUUUGACAGAAAAGUUAGCAGAAGCAAUGAAAUCCAAGCAUAUUUCUGUGGAAGAUGCAUUCAAAGCAUAUGGUAGUGAAAGAUGGAGACGUGUGUUUCCAUUAACAGUAAUGGCAAAUCGCGUUGGAGCACUGCUGCAGUCUGAGAAUAAACUGAUAUGUUCUGUUAGAAAUAAUCUCCUUGUGCCUAAGCUGAAGCCCAGAGCAUUGACGAAACAUACCAAUUAUGAAUUUGAGCAAGCUAAAAGAGACGGACAUUAGUUUUUGAGGGAGGAAAACUUAGCAAUAGCUUGCCAAUAAGAUUUCCCUCGAAUAGCAAUAGACAGAAUGUAUGUUUUCUUACCAGAAAACGAAAAACAAACUAUAGACAGAAAUGUAUUUCAAAGUAAAGAUGUAACAUUUUGUGAUUCAACAAAUUUGCUAAUAGAAGUGUUUAUGCUUCUGUAUUCGAA